rnacentral:rRNA from 1 species
AUUGAACGCUGGCGGCAGGCCUAACACAUGCAAGUCGAGCGGAGCGGCGGACGGGUGAGUAAUGCCUAGGACUCUGCCUGGGAGUGGUGGCUAACGUCCGGAAACGGGCGCUAAUACCGCAUACUAGCAGAUGAGCCUAGGUCGGAUUAGAGAGUUGGUGGGGUAAAGGCCUACCAGGGCGACGAUCCGUAACUGGUCUGAGAGGAUGAUCAGUCACACUGGAACUGAGACACGGUCCAGACUCCUACGAGAGGAAGCAGUGGGGAAUAUGGGACAAUGGGCGAAAGCCUGAUGCAGCCAUGCCGCGUGUGUGAAGAAGGUCUUCGGAUUGUAAAGUACUUUCAGCGGGGAGGCGUUACCCGCAGAAGAAGCACCGGCUAACUCCGUGCCAGCAGCCGCGGUAAUAC